AACAUUUUAUACUUGGAGAAGUACUGCCACAGAAAAUAAAAAGCUAUUGCAGGUCACCUUUCAAGGACCUAGAAGUAGGGUUUUGGCCUAGGUAACCGGGCAGAGAUGUGGUUCGCGAUACUCCCUGGACUCGCCACCAUGGGCGUGUGCUUGCUUAUUCCAGGAAUGUCUACUGCGUACAUCCACAGGUUCACUAACGGCAGCAAGGAAAAAAAGGUUGCUCAUGUUUUGUAUCCAUGGAAUUUGAUGGAAAGAGAUAGGCGCAUCUCUGGAGUUGAUCUUUACUAUAAGUCAAAGGGUUUGGAGAACACUGAUUAAAGAAGCAUUUUCCUGGUUGAUUAAAAAAUAACUCAGUUAUGGUCAUCUACCCCUGCUAGAAGAUUAUACAGUAUAUUAUGUAGCAUGCAGUGUGUUAUGUAGUGCUUAAUAAAAAUAAAAUGAAAAAAAAAAAAAAAAAAAA